GACGAACGCUGGCGGCGUGCCUAAGACAUGCAAGUCGAGCGGGGCUUCGGGGCUUCGGCCCUGAAGCCUAGCGGCGGACGGGUGAGUAACACGUGGAUAACCUGCCCUCUGCUCUGGGAUAACAGGCCGAAAGGCCUGCUAAUACCGGAUAAGCUCACGGUCCCGCAUGGGGCUGGGAGAAAAGGCGCUGGAGUCAGUGGCGCUGGCAGAGGAGGGGUCCGCGGCCCAUUAGCUGGUUGGCGGGGUAACGGCCCACCAAGGCGACGAUGGGUAGCCGGCCUGAGAGGGCGACCGGCCACACUGGGACUGAGACACGGCCCAGACUCCUACGGGAGGCAGCAGUCGGGAAUUUUGCACAAUGGCCGAAAGGCUGAUGCAGCAACGCCGCGUGAGCGAAGAAGGCCUUCGGGUUGUAAAGCUCUGUUGCCUGCGAAGAAGGGCCCCGUCAGGAAAUGGGCGGGGUUUGACGGUAGCAGGCGAGGAAGCCCCGGCAAACUACGUGCCAGCAGCCGCGGUAAUACGUAGGGGGCGAGCGUUGUCCGGAAUUACUGGGCGUAAAGGGCGUGUAGGCGGCCUGUUAAGUCAGGGGUGAAAGACCGGGGCUCAACCCCGGGGGUGCCUCUGAAACUGGCGGGCUUGAGUGCUCUAGAGGGCAGUGGAAUUCCCGGUGUAGCAGUGAAAUGCGUAGAGAUCGGGAGGAACACCAGUGGCGAAGGCGGCUGCCUGGGGAGUCACUGACGCUGAGGCGCGAAAGCUAGGGGAGCAAACAGGAUUAGAUACCCUGGUAGUCCUAGCCGUAAACGAUGAGUGCUAUGUGUGAGGGGUAUCGACCCCCCUCGUGCAGGAGCUAACGCACUAAGCACUCCGCCUGGGGAGUACGGCCGCAAGGUUGA
rnacentral:rRNA from 1 species